AUUGAACGCUGGCGGCGUGCUUAACACAUGCAAGUCGUGCGGUAACAGGCGUAGCAAUACGUGCUGACGAGCGGCGAACGGGUGCGUAAUACAUGGGAAUCUGCCCUUUAGUGGGGAAUAACCCGGCGAAAGCCGGGCUAAUGCCGCAUAAGAUCUUCGGAUGAAAGCGGGGAGUCGUAAGAACCUCGCGCUGAUGGAUGAGCCCAUGUCGGAUUAGCUAGNGGUGAGGUAACGGCUCACCAAGGCGACGAUCCGUAGCUGGUCUGAGAGGACGGCCAGCCACACUGGGACUGAGACACGGUCCAGACUCCUACGGGAGGCAGCAGU
rnacentral:rRNA from 1 species